rnacentral:pre_miRNA from 1 species
AGUGAUCUGCCAGCCUUGGUUUCCCAAAGUUCUGGGAUUACAGGCGUGAGCCACCACACCCUGCCUUAACUGUUUCAAUUAAUAACCUGAUCAUUACCAAAGUAUAGAAAACCAAUCCAAGUGAUGACUGCAAAAGAUAUAUUGUGCUUUCAGGCAUCAUGUACUCAAGAUUUGGGAUUUACCUAUGUGAGUACAAGUAAUUGCUUGUAUAAUGUCACCAGAUUAAAUUCAACAGGGUCUCUUUUUACCAAAUGUUUUAUAUACCCUUACAACAUGCUAUAAGAGGGGCACAAAAAGGUCAAUUUCUCAAUGGAUUUUGUUCAGCAGCUAUGCAGAUUUAUUAAUGAACAAAUCUAACUGAACCCUGCUCAAAUGCAACUAGGUAGCCCUGUUUUUCAACUCCCAAGGACCUAUUUUGGGUCUGUGGAUAAUCUGCAUAUUUCAUUCUGCCUCUUCGUUGGCUCAGAUCUUGCUAUUUGGUCUGGCUCACUCCUGCCUUUCAAAUAGUUUCACCUAAAAAUUCUCCUAACAGCUCUUAUGAUUGGAGGCCAAAAUAGUCAAUAACUGAAAUUAGCACUAGCUUUGAAAUAGACAAAGAUAAGCUAGUUUCCACUGAGGAAAGAUUCCAGUGGGGUUCCUGGGGGCUCACUCUUGGUGGUAGUGGGAUACUAGUUGUAUGG